CACGUAAGGGGCGAGCGUUGUUCGGAAUUAUUGGGCGUAAAGGGCACGCAGGCGGUUAUGCAAGUCUGAUGUGAAAUCUCCGGGCUUAACUCGGAAUCCGCGUUGGAAACUGCAUGACUAGAGUAUUAGAGGGGGAGUCGGAAUUCCUAGUGUAGGGGUGAAAUCUGUUGAUAUUAGGAAGAACACCGGUGGCGAAGGCGGACUCCUGGCUGAAUACUGACGCUGAGGUGCGAAAGCAUAGGGAG
rnacentral:rRNA from 1 species